UAGUAUGGACAGAGAUACCCU
rnacentral:piRNA from 1 species